rnacentral:lncRNA from 1 species
GGUCUUCUUCUGUAGUAAUGAAGCAAGGGUGAGUACUAACGUACUCAACAAGUCCAACCCCAUCCACGGAGGGGAUACAAGCAAGAUUAUGCACAAGUAUAACAAGGGUAGGCUAGGGUUUAUUUUGCGGAAAAGCUAAUUUUUAACACAUGCAGGGGAUCAUUUUCGAAAGGGUUUUUGAAAAGUUUCCUUUAAUACCCGAAAUACUGAGUGGGGUUGAUCCUACACAAAGGAUCCAAGUUUUUAUCGCUAUCGGACUCCCCAUCCGUCAUAGCGCACGGCACAACUGCCGGACUCUUCUGAAAUUCCACACACACACACACACACACACUCAUGACAUCCUUGCCCAAACACUAGUUAUGUGACCAAGCCGUAAUUCGUCCAAUUCCGUGGACACGGCUACCCGGAUAGGUUUUAACUCUGCAGAGGGUGUACACUUUUCCUACAAGUAGGGUACCGUAGCACAAUCACCUUAGUGACGGUACGGAUCCUAACAAAGCCAUUACCCACCUUAGCUAAGACUGGCUAGUUCACACGGAACACCCAAGGGGUCCACGGCUCAUUCAGGAGACCGUAACCGGGACUCAAGUCACCAAGAUCUUAAUCCUUUUCCGUGGGUUCCCGUUGCUCACCAGCACUCCUGAGGACUAACCAUCCAGCUAGUGGGAUUUAUGCUAAGCCGUUGCCCAUACAACGGUCGAGUGGUUGCACGAUAGUGGAAUUAGGCAAGAUGACACAUUAACUCGGUCCUUAAUUACGACCGGAUGGAUAUCUCCCAACAUUGCUCAACCACCAAGGUACGAGCACAACAACUGGGCAUCCCACACAAGGAACACCCAUCCAUCCCGUCCACACAUUUCUUUUCCCGAACCAAAAAGCCAUUAUUCUUACUUGGACACACACACACCUUAAUUUCCC